CCUACGGGGAGCAGCAGUGGGGAAUAUUGCACAAUGGGGGAAACCCUGAUGCAGCGAUGCCGCGUGAGUGAAGAAGUAUUUCGGUACGUAAAGCUCUAUCAGCCGGGAAGAAAAUGACGGUACCUGACCAAGAAGCGCCGGCUAACUACGUGCCAGCAGCCGUGUUACUACGUAGGGGGCAAGCGUUAUCCGGAUUUACUGGGUGUAAAGGGAGCGUCGACGGCAGCGCAAGUCUGGAGUGAAAUGCCGGGGCCCAACCCCGGAACUGCUUUGGAAACUGUGCAGCUGGAGUGCAGGUGAGGUAAGCGGAAUUUCGAGUGUAGCGGUGAAAUGCGUAGAUAUUAGGAGGAACACCAGUGGCGAAGGCGGCUUACGGGACUGUAACUGACGUUGAGGCUCGAAAGCGUGGGGAUCAAACAGGAUUAGAUACCCCUGUAGUC
rnacentral:rRNA from 1 species